GGGCAAGCGGCAGCUACACAUGCAAGUCGAGCGGUAGAGAGAAGCUUGCUUCUCUUGAGAGCGGCGGACGGGUGAGUAAUGCCUAGGAAUCUGCCUGGUAGUGGGGGAUAACGCUCGGAAACGGACGCUAAUACCGCAUACGUCCUACGGGAGAAAGCAGGGGACCUUCGGGCCUUGCGCUAUCAGAUGAGCCUAGGUCGGAUUAGCUAGUUGGUGAGGUAAUGGCUCACCAAGGCGACGAUCCGUAACUGGUCUGAGAGGAUGAUCAGUCACACUGGAACUGAGACACGGUCCAGACUACUACGGGAGGCAGCAGUGGGGAAUAUUGGACAAUGGGCGAAAUCCUGAUCCAGCCAUGCCGUGUGUGUGAAGAAGGUCUUUGGAGUGUAAAGCAUUUUAGUUGGGAGGAAGAGCAGUAAAUUAAUACUUUGCUGUUUUGACGUUACCGACAGAAUAAGCACCGGCUAACUCUGUGCCAGCAGCCGCGGUAAUACAGAGGGUGCAAGCGUUAAUCGGAAUUACUGGGCGUAAAGCGCGCGUAGGUGGUUCGUUAAGUUGGAUGUGAAAUCCCCGGGCUCAACCUGGGAACUGCAUUCAAAACUGUCGAG
rnacentral:rRNA from 1 species